AAUUUAUUUUAAUUAAUUAAUGGUAAAACUAACCUCUGCAGACCAAGGAAUAAGUAGGAACACCUCAGUUGAGGUCUAUGGAGUUGUUCUAGGAAGACAAAACAGUAUCAAUGACAUGUAAAAUCGAGAAUACCCUUAUAAUUUCAAAGUCCCAAUAUGCCCACUAUAAAUUUAUGCAAAAAAAACUGACAGGCACGCUAAUUAACACCCCCAACUUCGCAAUUCUUAUUAAAAACCUACCUCAAUCUCCACUUUCACCUUCAAUCACCAGCAUCUGAUUCUCCAUCAAUGAUUUGAUCUUAUAAAAACCCCUCUAGUACAGCUCCUGAACGAUCUCUCUGUUAUCUAAAAAGGCUGGAUAAAUCUAACAAGCACCACCACAAACCCCUUAACCAUAUGCCGCCGAUAAAAUUUCUAACCCUUGUUUUUUUUCAAAGGCUUGGUCAUGCCGGUAACCAAUUAACAACUUU
rnacentral:lncRNA from 1 species